AUGGGAGCGUUUUGGGCCUUGCUUGUGUCUGUGCUGGCUGUCUGGUUUACCAAAGGCUCUGGUUUGCCGGUCGGUGAUGCAAAUGAAAUGAGUGGUAAUGGGCCGCAGAGGACAAUGAGAAAUGUGUCUCCUAAUGACGCCUCCAUAACGAAGGUCCUUACGCUUCACCAGUCACAUGAGUCUGUGUUCCUGCAGAAGUCAAAAAAAGUCCAACUGGAAACCAAUGAAGUGGAAGCUAAGGCAUCGGCUCUCUACCUGAAAGUUGAACAUGCGCAGCGCGGCGGCCCCAUCGGCGCCAAGGGUAGCCGCAACAUGGGCCACAACGGUACUCUGGACGACAGUGUGGGCCACAACAGCACUGUAGGCGACUACGCAGGCCAAAAUGGUGGUGCGGGCAACAAUAACGGCACCCUUGGGGACGACGGCAACAGCACUGUGGGCGACGACAGCAAUGCAGGCUACAACGGCAGCCUUGGGGACGACGACGACGGCAAUGCAGGCUACAACAAUAACGGCACCCUAGGUGUAACCUUUUAG
ensembl:lncRNA